rnacentral:RNase_P_RNA from 2 species
ACAGCGCAAAAGCCGCGAUGCUCGCCCCGUACAGGACGCCGUACCGCCCUACGCGCAUCCCUUCCAGCGAGCGGGCUAAGGUCUGAGCAUUCUAGUCCCCCUCGAUCGGCCCUAGCAGGGCCCCGGACGUAACGCCGGCGCGACAUAUCAGAAAACCGCUGCCCGUGCACGACACAAGCCUGGAGAUCCACUCUGUGGGGAGGGUGUGCGCGGCGGCUUGGGAGAUGUCGCGGGGACUGGGUGGGCAUCCCAGCCGGUACAGGAGAUGUGCUCGUCGCUCGAUUCGGUGCAUGGUGCCCGUCCUUCAGCUCACUUCGUGGCUCGCAGGUAUGGGGACUCUUCGGAGCUCCCUGCGAAACUCGAUUCAGACUACUCUUGUGCUGU